UUAUAGGGCUGCUACUAUGUUGCCUCCUCUCCAUGAUCUUACACCACAUGGUACCAAUACUGAUGUAUGUGAUGGCGAUAAUCUUUGAAACGUAAUGAUAAAUGAGUGUCCAUGGCUCGCCGCAUGCGAUCCUCCUCAAAAUUAAUGACGUCAAAUACACCCUAUCAAUAAUAAAUAUUAAAAAAAUAUUAUACAAAUUAAAUAUUCAUAAUAUAAUUUAUUUUACCUGUAAGUGGGUGUAGAAAAUCUCUCUCUGAGUCGGUAAAAUGUGACGCC
rnacentral:lncRNA from 1 species